UGGAAGUGCUACAGACAGAAGCCCUUUAGGGA
rnacentral:piRNA from 1 species